AUUGAACGCUGGCGGCAGGCCUAACACAUGCAAGUCGAGCGGAUGAAGGGAGCUUGCUCCUGGAUUCAGCGGCGGACGGGUGAGUAAUGCCUAGGAAUCUGCCUGGUAGUGGGGGAUAACGUCCGGAAACGGGCGCUAAUACCGCAUACGUCCUGAGGGAGAAAGUGGGGGAUCUUCGGACCUCACGCUAUCAGAUGAGCCUAGGUCGGAUUAGCUAGUUGGUGGGGUAAAGGCCUACCAAGGCGACGAUCCGUAACUGGUCUGAGAGGAUGAUCAGUCACACUGGAACUGAGACACGGUCCAGACUCCUACGGGAGGCAGCAGUGGGGAAUAUUUGACAAUUGGCGGAAGCCUUAUCCAACCAUGCCGCCGGGUGGAAAGAGGGUUUCCGAUUUUAAAGCCCUUUUAGGUUGGAGGAAGGGCAGUUAGUUUAAUCCUUUCUUUUUUGACGUUACCAACCGAAUAAGCACCGGCUAACUUCCUG
rnacentral:rRNA from 1 species